UGAUCCUGGCUCAGGACGAACGCUGGCGGCGCGCUUAAUGCAUGCAAGUCGAACGGGGUCGCUCCUUCGGGGGCUAAACCCAGUGGCAGACGGCUGAGUAACGCGUGGGUGACCUGCCCUCGAGUGGGGGAUAACUGCGAGAAAUUGCAGCUAAUACCGCAUACAUUCCCGCGGCUGAUACUGCGGGAAGAAAGAUUUAUCGCUUGAGGAUGGGCCCGCGUCCUAUCAGGUAGUUGGUGGGGUAAUGGCUCACCAAGCCUAAAACGGGUAGCUGGUGUGAGAGCAUGACCAGCCAGAGGGGGACUGAGACACGGCCCCCACUCCUCCGGGAGGCAGCAGCAAGGAAUCGUGCACAAUGGGCGAAAGCCUGAUGCCGCGACGCCGCGUGAGGGAUGACGGCUCUCGAGUUGUAAACCUCUUUUCUCAGGGAAGAGCAAGGACGUUACCUGAGGAAUAAGUCACGGCUAACUACGUGCCAGCAGCCGCGGUAACACGUAGGUGGCAAGCGUUGUCCGGAAUUACUGGGCGUAAAGGGUUCGUAGGCGGUCCGAAAAGUCUUCUGUGAAAUCUCCAGGCUCAACUUGGAGCCGUCGGGAGAUACUUUCGGACUAGAGACUGUCAGAGGCAGGUGGAAUUCCCGGUGUAGUGGUGAAAUACGUAGAUAUCGGGAGGAACACCAGUGGCGAAAGCGGCCUGCUGGGGCAGUUCUGACGCUGAGGGACUAAAGCGUGGGGAGCGAACCGGAUUAGAUACCCGGGUAGUCCACGCCCUAAACGAUGAAUGCUAGGUCUUCGGGGUGUUUAUUCCCUGUGGGCCGAAGGUAACCCGAUAAGCAUUCCGCCUGGGGACUACGGCCGCAAGGCUAAAACUCAAAGGAAUUGACGGGUCCCCGCACAAGCAGCGGAGCGUGUGGUUUAAUUCGAUGGUAAGCGAAGAACCUUACCUAGGCUUGACAUGUCUGGUGGUACCGAACCGAAAGGGGAGGGACCCUUCGGGGAGCCUU
rnacentral:rRNA from 1 species